UGGAGCCAUCAGGAGACAGCCUCGGUGU
rnacentral:piRNA from 1 species